GACGAACGCUGGCGGCGUGCUUAACACAUGCAAGUCGAACGAAGUGGCGAACGGGUGAGUAACGCGUAAUCAACCUGCCCUUCAGAGGGGGACAACAGGUGGAAACGACUGCUAAUACCGCAUACUGAAGGAGGGGAUUGCGUCUGAUUAGCUAGUUGGAGGGGUAACGGCCCACCAAGGCGAGUAUCAGUAGCCGGUCUGAGAGGAGGAACGGCCACAUUGGGACCGCGACACGGCCCAGGAUCCGAACGUGGGCAGCAGGGGGGAAUCUUCCGGAAUGGACGAAAGUCUGACGGAGCAACGCCGCGGGAGUGAUGACGGCCUGCGGGUUGUAAAGCUCUGUUAAUCGGGACGCGGUACCUGAAUAGAAAGCCACGGCUAACUACGUGCCAGCAGCCGCGGUAAUUC
rnacentral:rRNA from 1 species